ensembl:lncRNA
CUCGAGGGUGUGCUCCCCUGCCUGGCGCAGGGAGGAGCUCGCGGCUGCCUGUAGGUGUGGCGGAGCUUUGUCCCGCUGUCCGUGGUUCCCUGCAACUCUCCAGAAUCAGGCUUGUAGGAGAGGCUGUGAGCAUUCCUUCAUUCCGGCACCAGCACAAAAAGUGGAACAGCCCUGUCUUCCUGGAGCUUUGAUGCCAGUGGCUGCGAAACACCCAACAAAAUCGAACCAGUAGGCUGUCUGAUGAAUACAAAGAGAGGACAAACGGGAGACAGUAGCCGAGAAGUGCCAGCAGAGUGCAAACCCAAAGCUUGGUCUGGCUGAGAAGAGGCAAGAGGGAGAGGAGUGAGGCUGCAGGGUUUAUAAAGGAAGACUGCAGCCCCAGUCUGCCUCGGGUGUGUCCUCUGCCCUUGCACCUUUGGAAUGUGGCUGACUGACUCUGUCAGGGACUUGUGCUGUCCACUGCCUUGGAUCUCACAUCUGGAAGCUGAACUCCAAGAGGAGCAAGAGCUUCUGCAAAUGAUGCCAGCUGUGAAGGUUAACAGAGCACCGGAAGUGCUUUAGAAGAAGGAUGCUAGGCUGCUGACCCCCACCAAAGCCUGGGAGAAAGUCCUUGUCCCAGCUGUGAAGCUACCACUCCACUAGAGUCUCUACUGGAACAGUCUGGGGAGAGGACAAGAGAUUAGGUCUCAGUUAAAAGACUUCUUACCUAAGGAUUUUCUAAUUGUGCAAGCCAGAGAAGGGCUACUAGCUUCUGUGUUAGCUGUCAAGCUAGCUCUUCCAAAGGGGAGGCCAUGAUAUUACAGGUCUGCAGAUUUCAAUGGCUUCCAGCAAGAUCCCAGGCUGGCCUCUCCUUAGCUUGAGCCAGCUCCUAACUGAUGCCUGAAAGGUUCUCCAAGCAGGUGAUUGCACUGAUGUGGGCAUCAGAUGCUCACUCUAGCACAAAAGCUUGCAUUACCUCUAGAGUAGGGAUCCUCCACUAGUGACACUCAAUUCUGUUAGCGACUGUAUGGGACUGGCUACAGGAGCUUGUACCCAGCACUAUCCUCAACUAUGAGCUUUUAUCUACCAAGGCUGUACCUUCAGCUAAGUCCUCCACUUAAGUAAUUAGCUCACUUUCUUCAUCCUAUUUCCUGGGAUUCUCUUAAGAAUUGAAUGAAACAGUGCAUCCGGAUUUCUUUUUUUGUUUGUUUGCUUGUUUUUGCUUUAUGUUUUUGGUUUUGUUUUUCGAGACAGGGUUUCUCUGUAUUGUUUUGGAGGCUGUCCUGGAACUCACUCUGUAGACUAGGCUGGCCUCGAACUCAUAAAGAUCCGCCUGCCUCUGCCUCCCAAGUGCUAGGAUUAAAGGCAGCUUACAACUGUCUGUAGUUCCAGUUCCAGGGUAUCCAACACCCUCAUACAGACAUACAUGCAGGAAAAACACUAAUGCAUAUAAAAUAAAUUAAAAAACCAAAUCAAGCUCUAAGACAGUCAAGGUUACAUAGAGAACUCUGUCUUGAAAAACCAAAAAAGAAAAACCAAAAAAGACCAGUUCUCCCUGUUGUGGUAACCCCCAACCAUAAAAUUAUGUUCAUUGCUAAUUACUUCAUAUUUGUAAUUCUGCUACAGAUAUGAAUCAUAAUGUGAAUAUUUGAUAUGAGACCCUAUAGGGUCACGACCCACAGGUUGAGAACAACUGGUCUAAAGCUUCAAGGAGGAAAAGAACAGGCCUUUUUUGAGACAGAAUUUCUCUGGGUAGCUUUGGAGUCUGUCCUGGCACUUGAUCUGUAUACCAGGCUGGCCUCGAACUCACAGAGAUUCACCUGCUUCUGCUUCCCAAGUGCUGGGAUUGAAGGUGUGUGACACCACCACCCAGCUCUUCUAAGUCUUAUUUUGUUUGUAUUUCUGUUUUAAUUACAAAAUAUUGGGCUUUUCUGUUUUUGUUUUUGUUUUUUGAGACAGGGUAUCUCUGUGGCUUUGGAGGCUGUCCUGGAACUAGCUCUUAUAGACCAGGCUGGUCUGGAACUCUGCCUCGGGAGUACUGGUAUUGAAAGUGUGCGCCACCACUGCCAGGCCAGGCUUUUCUGUUUUUGCUACUGUUUUGAGACCUUGAAGCAGAGGACAUCCUAGAAUUUGCUAAAGGUAGAUAAAGUGUUAGGAGCAUUCUGUCUGUGGACUCAAUGACAUUUUUUUCCUGAGGGGCUGGAGAGAUGGUUCAUUGGCUAAGGCUUAGCACCUACUGCCUUUGCAAACAUCCUUUCAUUUCCUAGAACCCACAGAAUGGCUCAUAACUGUUGUAACUUCAAUUCUAGUGGCUCUGACACCCUCUUUUGACUCCAAAGGUAUCACACACACACAUGGUACACAUACAUACAUGCAGACAAAGCACUCAUACAUAU